CUACGGGCUGCAGCAGUGGGGAAUUUUGCGCAAUGGGCGAAAGCCUGACGCAGCAACGCCGCGUGAGGGAUGAAGGCCUUCGGGUUGUAAACCUUUGUCAAGCGGGAAGAAAUAAAUGACGGUACCGCUAGAGGAAGCCCCGGCUAACUCCGUGCCAGCAGCCGCGGUAAUACGGAGGGGGCAAGCGUUGUUCGGAAUCAUUGGGCGUAAAGCGUGUGUAGGCGGCUAGAUCAGUCAGACGUGUAAGCCCUCGGCUUAACCGAGGAAUUGCGUUUGAUACUAUCUAGCUUGAGUGUAGGAGAGGAAAGCGGAAUUCCCAGUGUAGCGGUGAAAUGCAUUGAUAUUGGGAAGAACAUCGGUGGCGAAGGCGGCUUUCUGGCCUAUUACUGACGCUGAGAUACGAAAGCUAGGGGAGCGAACGGGAUUAGAUACCCUUGUAGUC
rnacentral:rRNA from 1 species